AUUGAACGCUGGCGGCAUGCCUUACACAUGCAAGUCGAACGGUAACAGGUCUUCGGAUGCUGACGAGUGGCGAACGGGUGAGUAAUACAUCGGAACGUGCCUAGUAGUGGGGGAUAACUACUCGAAAGAGUAGCUAAUACCGCAUGAGAUCUAAGGAUGAAAGCAGGGGACCUUCGGGCCUUGUGCUACUAGAGCGGCUGAUGGCAGAUUAGGUAGUUGGUGGGGUAAAGGCUUACCAAGCCUGCGAUCUGUAGCUGGUCUGAGAGGACGACCAGCCACACUGGGACUGAGACACGGCCCAGACUCCUACGGGAGGCAGCAGUGGGGAAUUUUGGACAAUGGGCGAAAGCCUGAUCCAGCAAUGCCGCGUGCGGGAUGAAGGCCCUCGGGUUGUAAACUGCUUUUGUACGGAACGAAAAGCCUGGGGCUAAUAUCCCCGGGUCAUGACGGUACCGUAAGAAUAAGCACCGGCUAACUACGUGCCAGCCGCCGCAGUAA
rnacentral:rRNA from 1 species